GCAUUGAUGACGAGUCUCAAACAGGACGAAACAGCUGUCUAGCGC
rfam:Echinostoma caproni strain Egypt genome assembly, scaffold: ECPE_scaffold0000399